AGUGGAAUUGCUAGGCCAUAUGGUAAGUCUAUGUUUAACUUUUUGAGGACCUGCCAAACUGUUUUCCAGAUAGGCUGUACCAUUUUACAUCCCUACCAGCAAU
rnacentral:pre_miRNA from 1 species